rnacentral:rRNA from 1 species
UUGGAGGGCAAGUCUGGUGCCAGCAGCCGCGGUAAUUCCAGCUCCAAUAGCGUAUAUUAAAGUUGUUGCAGUUAAAAAGCUCGUAGUUGAAUUUCGGGGUUCUACCGCUGGUCGGGCAAUAGUCUGUACUGGCGUGUAGAAUUUCUACCUUCUGGGGAACUAUCAUGUUAUUUAUUUAGCGUGGUAGGAAACCGGGACCUUUACCUUGAAAAAAUUAGAGUGUUCAAAGCAGGCUUACGUCUGAAUACAUUAGCAUGGAAUAAUGAAAUAGGACGGUGGUCCUGUUUUGUUGGUUUCUGAAUCACCGUAAUGAUUAAUAGGGAUAGUUGGGGGCAUUAGUAUUCAAUUGUCAGAGGUGAAAUUCUUGGAUUUAUUGAAGACUAACUUCUGCGAAAGCAUUUGCCAAGGAUGUUUUCAUUAAUCAAGAACGAAAGUUAGGGGAUCGAAGACGAUCAGAUACCGUCGUAGUCUUAACCAUAAACUAUGCCGACUAGGGAUCGGACGAUGUUAAUUUUUCUUGACUCGUUCGGCGCCUUACGGGAAAC